UUAUCAUAUUAGUUAGAGGGGCUAAAUAGUUAUUUUCUAUACAACCGUCUUGGCCGCCCCUUAUCUUUUUGAGGAGUGUCCCAUUAACCAAAUUUGGUCUUAUCUACCCAACCGGGAGAAUAAACUCGCUCUUAUUAUGUUUUCUUCUUCUUCAUUCUUCGGUUUUCUUCUCUUCUCUCCUGUUCUUCUUUCUCUAUCAAAAUUGAGAGAUCAAAUGGAACUUUUGAGAUCGUGAGAAGAGGGGUAAGAGCAAGGGAUCAGUGUUGGUGCUGGUGUUGAUUCAAGAAGUUAAUUCUUUUCCACAGGAAGAUUUAAUUCACAGAGGGAGUAAGUGAGGGUUAAAGUUUUGAUUUAUGGCUUGAAGACUCAGAAGACGAAGAAUAGAGAUGAGGUUGGAUAAAGAAUGAUUGGGUUAAGGUUUAAUUGAAGGAUUGAAGUUGUUUGGAGAUGAUUUGAGAAUUAGGUUUCAUGAGAAGUUCAGAGGAGAAAUUAGAAGAUGGAAUUAAGGUGUUACGGGAAAGAUUAGAGAUGAGUUUGUCAUGAAUUAGGUUUGGGACUAAAGAAUUACUUGAGUUGUUAGUUAGGGCUCGGGAAUUGGUGAAUUGGAGUAUUUCUGAAGUUAAGGUUGAUAAAUUGGAGCUCAUGAAGAACUAGGGUUUCAUUCUUGUAUCAAGAAGGUGAUGGAGUUAUUGUUGGUGUUGAUUCAGUGGACCUAUCUUGAGGUAAACGAUUUCUCGGUAACUUAGUAAAGUUAUGAUGUUCUGUUUUGAGUUUAUAAGGUUUUUCAUGAUAGAACAGUUAAAAAGAGUUUACCAUGUAUGAAGAUGUUAUAAUCAAUUUGAUUGUGUUGCUGUUUGGGUAUAUGAAGUUGAUUAACAGGGAUUAGAUGUAUGAGUUAGGUAUGAAUUGUGAAGAUGGAACGGGAACAGAACUGGAACUAUUAUGGCAUGAAGUUGUAGUUGAAUAUGCAAUUGGAUUAUGGUUGAACUACCAAAGGUAGUGAUUCUGUAGCUCAUGAAGUUGAGGUUACGGAGGAGUUGUAGGAUGAGUUCGAGUUAGUUAUGUUACAAUGUUGUAAAUUGGCUGAGACCUUGGAGAAGACAUUGACAGAAGUGGUUGCAGGGGAUUGGUAAAUGUUGAAUUGUAGAUGCUAGUAAUUGAAGAUAUAGAUUGUUGCAGUAUUGAAUUAGGUUGAAUUGGUAGUGUUGUUGGUGUUGUAGUUCAUGGGAUUGGCAGUUGUCACUGAAAUGAAUUUAUGUAGGUUAGGUUGUUGUUGAACUAGUGGUUUUGAAUGAAAGGCUUCCGAAGAAUUCAGUUAAGAUGUUAUUGAGAUGAGUUUGGUGUUGAUAUUGUUGAACUGCGAGUGGAGUAUGGGAUUAAUUGGGUGAUGAGAAUUACUAAUGGUUCAUUUGGGGCUUGCCACUGCUAUUGCAGGUAAGCCGAGUUUAUGGUUGUGAAUUAGUAUGAAGUUUACAUAACUUGAAUGUAUGAUUGAAGUAACACAGUUGAAGUGGUAUUGUAGUUGUAGAUAAUUGUAAUGAAUUACAAUCAGUGAUGGUAUUGAAUUUUGGUUGUAGUAAUUUGAAACUGGUGGUAAUUCAGUUUAGUGGAUGUGUUGGUAAAAGCUGCAGCUGCAGGUAAUUGAGAUGUAUUUAUGUUUGCAAUUUGAUGAUGAAGUUUGCUUAAUAAUUUAUGAAUUGAAGUUGUAUUUGAGUUAUGUUUUGU